rnacentral:rRNA from 1 species
UACGGAGGGGGCUAGCGUUGUUCGGAAUUACUGGGCGUAAAGCGCGCGUAGGCGGCUUUGUAAGUCAGAGGUGAAAUCCCGGGGCUCAACUCCGGAACUGCCUUUGAAACUGCAUCGCUUGAAUGUCGGAGAGGCGAGUGGAAUUCCGAGUGUAGAGGUGAAAUUCGUAGAUAUUCGGAGGAACACCAGUGGCGAAGGCGGCUCGCUGGCUCGAUACUGACGCUGAGGUGCGAAAGCGUGGGGAGCAAACAGG